rnacentral:rRNA from 1 species
CGUACACAUGCAGUCGAGCGGUAGCACAGAGAGCUUGGUCUCGGUUGACGAGCGGGGGACGGGGGAGUAAUGUGUGGGAAACUGCCUGAUGGAGGGGGAUAACUACUGGGAACGGUGGCUAAUACCGCAUAACGUCGCACGACCCAAGAGGGGGACCUUCUGGCCUCUUGCCAUCUCAUGUGCCCCCAUGGGAUUAUCUAUUAUGUGGGGUAACGGCUCUCCUAUGCGACAAUCCCUAUCUGUACUGAGAGGAUGACCCCCCACACUGUAACUGAGACACGGUCCACACUCCUACAGGAGGCACCACUGGGGAAUAUUGCACAAUGGGCGCAAGCCUGAUGCACCCAUGCCCCGUGUAUAAAAAAAGCCUUCUGGUUGUAAAGUACUUUCUCCGGGGAGGAAAGGGAUAUGGGUAAUAACCUCGUCCAUUGACAUUACCCCCACAAAAAACACCGCCUAACUCCCCGCCACCACCCCCGGUAAUACAGAGGGGGCGAGCGUUAAUCUCAAUUACUCGGCGUAAAGCGCACGCAAGCGGUCUGUCAAGUCGGAUGUGAAAUCUCCGCGCUCUCCCUGUGAACUGUGUUCUAAACUGUGAGGCUAUAGACUUGUAUAGAGGGGUAGAAUUCCAGGUGUAUCGGGGAAAUGCGUAUAGAUCUGGAGGAAUACCCCUGGSGAAAGCGGCCCCCCUGGACACAGACUGACACUCUCGUGCGAAAGCGUGGGGAGCAAACAGGAGUAUAUACCCCUGGGAGACCACCCCCCAUACGAUAUCUACUUGUAGGUGUGCCCUUUAGGCGUGGGUCCCCCAGAUAACACGUUAAGACUACACCCUGUGGAGUACGCCCGCAAGGUGAAAACUCUMAUGAAUUUACGSGGGCCCCCACAAGCGCUGGAGCAUGUGUGUUAAUUUUAUGUACACGAGAAACCUUUACCUACUCUCUACAUCCCCAGAACUUUCACAGAUGUUUUUGUUGUCUUCUCGAACUCUCAGACAGUGCUGCAUGGUGUCGUCACAUCUGUUUGAAUGUUGGUAAAUCCCACCAAGGCCACCCUUAAUCCUUUUGUCCACGGUUUGCCGCAAUCAAGGAAUCUCACUGAUAACCUGGGAGAACCGGGCGGGU